CUGAAGAGCACAUCCCCGCGAUUCAAUGAAAUUUUGUGCAUCCCUUUACGCCAUCUUUCUGCCACCGAGCACGUUAAAAUCAAUCUAGGCACCCGGUUCAACCAUAAAUCGCAUAUCGAUUUUCGUAGCCGUAAUUCGAUCAAAGAUCCCUGUUUACCCUCAGCGAUAUGCAGCGUUCAUUCGAUUAAAACGAGCGAGCCGUGUAAAUCGCGAGCAACAACGUUCUAGAUAUAUAAAGAAGAAAUAAAGGCAGAAAAAAAAAAGGAGGAACCAUGUAGAGUGGUAAAAAUUUUGUCAGCAUUACACACACUAUGCACACCGGAUGCAUGCACGUGAAACAAUUGUUUCGCACAGUGUCAAGGUAACGACGGUCCCGUUGCGUAGUUAUAAACGUGAAAAAAGAAAAGAUCGUGCGAGUACGGGGCAGCAGAAAACAAGAAAGAGAGGAAUGGCUGGAGGUACAAAAGGAAAGAAAGAAAAAAAAAAAAAAUGGGUCGCGAGUCAGUUUCGCUCAGGUAUGAUAUCUGUCUGUCUCGCGCGCGCGAUCAUCGCUUCGCUCAAAUUCGCCCCGUUGAUUUUCACCAGUGGUAAAUACAUCCGUGAGAAGAGGUGUAGCUCGAGCAUUACCGGGUGAACUUUCUGUUGACGGAUCACGUGGCAGAAUUCAGGCAUCUCCGUUGGCACCGGCAGCCGGGCUGAUUUAUUGAGUGGCGUGGCGUUGCUGACCUCACUCUCGCUACGGCUAACGACACUAAGAGAGCUCUUGGUAAUCUGCCGAACGCCAACGAUAUCUACUCAAAUAUAUCGAAAUUAUAUGCCGGUGCAACGAAUUUGGAUUAUUCACUCACCGAUUUUCCCUCUCUAUCUCUACAUUUCUCUGUUUAAAUUUUUAUUUCCCUUUCUAGGGGGGGCUUUUUCAUUCAUCUACAACUUCUGAAUCAACCGAUCAUUGAAGAGUUGAACAUUGCGAUCCAGUGUGUGAUUUGAAAACUGAACACAGAAUUAUAUAUGCACGAUUACUUUAAAUCGACUACAUUAAUUUAUACUAUGUCGACACGGUGAAAUAUCUUUGGAGCAUGCAGAACAAUGAAUACUCCCGUGAACUUUAAACGAUGAAUUAAAUCAUACAACUCUAAAUUAUUUUUUCCAUGGGUCAUUAGCGUGUGCAACAGCGUGCAACAAGUAAUACAUUAUAAAUCGACGUUCACAGAGUUAUAUUAAGGCCACUGGUGAUGUGUCAAGCAUUAUUUGUAAAUCAAUGAUUCUUAUAAUAGCCGGUUAUGAAGUCGAUUUUGAUCAAAAGUUUAUUGGAGCACAGAAAUGAGCUGUUAUUUGUAAGUGGGGUCACAUAGUUCACAUAUUAGAAUACAAUAAAUUGCACGAUAUAGUGAAUCAAACAGAUAUAUAGAUUUCCGUAUCUCGAGUACAAGAUACUGCUAAGAUUACGUAUCAAGGCAGUUACUCGAAGAAUCGUAACACUCUCUGUCGUUAUAGAAAAAGAAAAGUUAUGUGCGAAGUUUAUUUUUAGACAUGAAUUCGUUACAAUCGUUAUAAAUGAGAUUAUCACGGUGUACCAUGCACCAGAAGGCCGGAUAUACACGUGUGUAUUUAUAUGUAUACAUUGUGUGUAGAAUUAUGCUCUCAUGUGAAAAGACUAUCCUUACGUAACAAAGUCGGCGAGCUCGACGUGACACUGACCUCACUUUAAAUCCAUAAGUGGCCAUUAAUUAUCAAGUGGCAACGAUUUCAACGAUUUCACCGAUGGAGGGCGAGAGCACAGCUGAAGAAGGGUGAAACGAAGGAGGAUGGGGAGGAGCCAAUACACAGAGUGGUCUGCUAAUCAGUCCGUUCGGAUAUCGCAAUAUGUGGGAUACGCUCGGUUGAUUCUGAACACGACGAGUUUACCCUAAUGUAAUUAAUGUCCGUCGUACAAUGUGACGUGUAACGACAAAUUCGAUCGACAUCGUUAUUCAUAGAAAGAGAGAGAAUGGAGAGGGAGAGGGAGAGAGAGAGAGAGAGAGAGAAAACAACAAAAGAAAGUAAGAGAAAGAAAGAUUACACUCGUCGAUUGUCUGCACGGCCGACAAAGUCAACGCGAUGUGCAGCACGUUUUUAGUCGAAUCAAUUAUAAAUAAACGUCCUCCUUUUAAGAGCGUAGUGUAUUUUCAGAUUCCAUUCAUUCAUUGUGCUUCCGUGUCUCGUGAACGAGAUGAACAGCUCACUCCGACGAUCUAGCGACGACGACCUUUCGAGGCGCCACGGCUGAUUAUAGGCUGCUGAAAAUAAUUAAUCGAUCGGUUAUUUUGAUUGUAUCAUUCAGAUAUCCGGCGUCUGGGAAACUUCGAUAUGUUUUUUAAAUAUUGCAACAGAAUUUAUCAGAUCUAUAUCGUGGGACUUUUUUCUCUUUCAUUUUAAAAAAGUAUCUUCUAUUUAAAUAUAAAAAUAUUUUUACCAAGCUUGUUUUAAGAACGUCACAAGAUACAAAUACCGUUUACCUCGUUCCAGUAGCAGCAAAAGAUUAGUUAGAGCAAUACGAUCGAACACGAGGCGGAUAAAUGAGAAUCGUGUAGGGUACACGGUUCAUUUCAGAAGCGAGCCGUAUCAUCAUCAUCGCACACGGUCCAGCGGAUCAUUUUUCAUUUACGCGCGUCGGAUAAUGUGUAUCAUUGAAUAUGUCACUAAUUGCUUGACAGGAGGAUAAACAUUUUUUGCGAAGAUAAAUUAAACGGUCGUGGUGCACGACAAGAUAAUUAAGUAUUACGGUAUGGUGUUACGUAUGUGAUAAUAAUCUCGCCACAUGUCGACACACUCUUCUUGACCCGACCCAUCGGCUCCUUUCUCUCUGUCUCUCGUAGCCGAAGAAUGUAAAGACACGAUCAGGGGAAACGACGGCGACGGCCAGCUUUCCAGUCAAGAGAAGGAAGGAAGAAAACAUGUCGGAUAAGAAAGAAUCUGUGGUAGGGACAAUCACCCGAGAGAGGUCGAACCGAUCCCUGUACGUUGCGAGACGACGAAAAAGUCCAAAAGGAUUUCCCUGCGGUGCAACAAGGAAUUUGAAAAAGAAAAUCAUCGGCGCACAGAUUCUCGAUUCAGGGAAUUUUUCAAAACCUGGCAACGCGUAUCCCACCGAACGUAAUAAUGAUUUUAUACGCUCAAAUCAAUCUGGAAGAUGUCACGUAAUACCAAAAGCUAGAUUUUUACAAUUGUUCAAGGCUUAGAUUUUUUUACAAUUGUUUAAAGAACAGAGAAGAAAAGCUAAUGUCUGAUUAAUUCUAAAAUCGAACACGAGACAGCAUGUAUAAAUAAAUUAGCAUUUUAUUAUUGGAAAUAAGCGAGCAGCGGGUUGGAAGAGUGUCAUAAAAAAUACGGGCAAUCUGGCGAAUAUUCUGUUUCAUCCCCGAGCCAAAGCGUUGGUAAUAGAGCAUUAAAAAGGGUCUGGGUUUUUAUUCCCACGGCUUUUCAUAAUUAGUCGUCGUCGUCGUCGUCUGCCGGAAUAGCGAUGCAUAUCUCGCUCCCCACUAAUUGUUUGACACCGAAUCAACAUCCUACCGUGGCGUUUACAUUUCAAAUCAUCUUACUCGUCGCUCCCGGGAGCAGAUAACAAGCUAUCUAGUAAUGCGAGCACCAAGCCUGAUAAUUCACUUAUUACUAGGUAACGAUUUCUCACGAUUUAAUUAAGGAUUACGUUUUGCUAACAGAGUGAGAAAAUUUUGGCUUUCAAAUUGACUUUUCAUUAGACAGGGAAAAGAAAAAAAAUGAUACACGUACAGAUGCAUAUGGAUACGUAUAUAUGUACUAUGUGGUAUGUAUAUGUAUAUGUACAAUGUAUAUGCAUCGCGUUACAGGCGGACAAGAUUGAUAAACGAAGAUCUGGCAUUUCCUGCUAAGCGUUGCACGCAGCUUACAGCUGUUGUGCACUGUCCAGAAGCUCAGGUUGGAUCGCAAACCCGUUCAGGAACAAGAGAGACCGGUUUAAGCGGUUUACAUCGUGGCUACUUUCUCCGUGACAAUAACAAUGCACUUUGUACUUCGAUAAUGCAAGAAAUGGACGAGUAAAUAACAAUAGAGUUUAUGGUGAAGCGAUACAGGAAGAAUUCUACGAGCAAUUUCUCAGGCACAUCCGACUGUAAACUAAUAAUAAUAAUGCGAUCAGCUGGUAAGGGUUAAUCGUAUGCUAAUUCUAAUGCGUGCAAUUAUAAUACUCGUAUAUAACGAGCAAUUGAUAAUCGUAUUUUCUACUUUGAAACGAUAACAAAUGGAAGAAAUUUACAUUCGACAAGUUCUUUUUAUUUUUCAUUAAUAUAUGUCUUUUUCUGUUUCAUCAUUGCAACAAUUUAUGCCCAUACCUCAAGUGUACGUUCAAUCAUCUUCGUUUCGUGAUUCAAAAAACUGCAAAUUACACGGGAUGCAUAUUAUUAUGAAAGCGUAACUGAUAAACGAACGAGGAAAAGCACUCAAACAAAUCCUAAGUAUAUGUAUUAGUGAUUCAUGUUUAUCAGCUACAAAUCACUAAAUAACAUUUUUGUUCCGGCUGUUACUUCUCAGGUAGAAAGGAAAUUUACUCGCCAAAGGUUCAAGAUAUUUUAAGGCUCUUCCUUUGCAUUGUGCGUCCCAUACUUUUGUCCAGAAAUGUCCCAAACAGGCCAUUGCUGAGGUCUGUCUUUCAAUUCCUGGGGUCCCUUUAUGCGAUUGAUAAUAGUUUCACUACAGUAAAUAGUAAGCAAUUCCAACGAUAGUUCAGGACGAGCAAGCAAACAGAAUGUUCUACCAUUAUUGUUUCUACAAUUUAUAAGCUACUUUCUACAAUUUGCAAGCUGACAUU